CUUGCAGAACAAGCCGCCUGCCAUUCCUCUCUCCCUGAACCUGCCAUGGGCCUCAGGGUCCUCUGCUGGGUGGCCCUGUGUUUCUGUGCAGCAGGUUCCAUGAACACAGAGGUCACCCAGACUCCAAGACAUGUAGUCAGAGGAAUGGCUCAGAAAGCAAAGAUGGAGUGCACACCUGUAAAAGGACACAUCUAUGUGUAUUGGUAUCAGAGGAAGCCAGAAGAAGAACUCAAGUUUUUGGUUUACUUACAGAAUGAAAAAAUUAUUGAGAAAACUGAAUUUAUUAAUGAACGAUUAUCAGUGCAAUGCCCCAAAGGCUCACCCUGUAGCAUGGAAAUUCAGUCCACAGAACUGGGGGACUCAGCUACAUAUUUCUGUGCCAGCAGCCAAUCCACAGUGCUCAAUGUGAGCUUUGCUUAGAACACAAACUCAGCUUGCAGCCAGCUCAGGAAAUGAGUGGUGCUAGGUUGGUAAAAGACACCUGAAACUCAACUUGAAAGAGCAUAAAUCUGAAUGGGAAAAUUGUGG